rnacentral:rRNA from 1 species
AGUGAACGCUGGCGGUAGGCCUAACACAUGCAAGUCGAACGGCAGCACAGUAAGAGCUUGCUCUUACGGGUGGCGAGUGGCGGACGGGUGAGGAAUACAUCGGAAUCUACUUUUUCGUGGGGGAUAACGUAGGGAAACUUACGCUAAUACCGCAUACGACCUACGGGUGAAAGCAGGGGAUCUUCGGACCUUGCGCGAUUGAAUGAGCCGAUGUCGGAUUAGCUAGUUGGCGGGGUAAAGGCCCACCAAGGCGACGAUCCGUAGCUGGUCUGAGAGGACGAUCAGCCACACUGGAACUGAGACACGGUCCAGACUCCUACGGGAGGCAGCAGUGGGGAAUAUUGGACAAUGGGCGCAAGCCUGAUCCAGCCAUACCGCGUGGGUGAAGAAGGCCUUCGGGUUGUAAAGCCCUUUUGUUGGGAAAGAAAAGCAGCAGGUUAAUACCCCGCUGUUCUGACGGUACCCAAGGAAUAAGCACCGGCUAACUUCGUG